AAGGUGACUGCCGGUGACAAACCGGAGGAAGGUGGGGAUGACGUCAAAUCAUCAUGCCCCUUAUGACCUGGGCUACACACGUGCUACAAUGGGCAGAACAAAGGGCAGCGAAGCCGCGAGGCUAAGCCAAUCCCACAAAUCUGUUCUCAGUUCGGAUCGCAGUCUGCAACUCGACUGCGUGAAGCUGGAAUCGCUAGUAAUCGCGGAUCAGCAUGCCGCGGUGAAUACGUUCCCGGGCCUUGUACACACCGCCCGUCACACCACGAGAGUUUGUAACACCCGAAGUCGGUGAGGUAACCUUUUGGAGCCAGCCGCCGAAGGUGGGACAGAUGAUUGGGGU
rnacentral:rRNA from 1 species